rnacentral:rRNA from 1 species
UACGUAGGGUGCGAGCGUUAAUCGGAAUUACUGGGCGUAAAGCGUGCGCAGGCGGUUUUGUAAGUCAGGUGUGAAAUCCCCGGGCUUAACCUGGGAAUGGCAUUUGAGACUGCAAGGCUUGAGUUUGGCAGAGGAGACUGGAAUUCCUGGUGUAGCAGUGAAAUGCGUAGAUAUCAGGAGGAAUACCGAUGGCGAAGGCAGGUCUCUGGGCUAGAACUGACGCUCAGGCACGAAAGCGUGGGGAGCAAACAGG